GGGUUGUGAGGUUAAGCGACUAAGCGUACACGGUGGAUGCCCUGGCAGUCAGAGGCGAUGAAGGACGUGCUAAUCUGCGAUAAGCGUCGGUAAGGUGAUAUGAACCGUUAUAACCGGCGAUUUCCGAAUGGGGAAACCCAGUGUGAUUCGUCACACUAUCAUUAACUGAAUCCAUAGGUUAAUGAGGCGAACCGGGGGAACUGAAACAUCUAAGUACCCCGAGGAAAAGAAAUCAACCGAGAUUCCCCCAGUAGCGGCGAGCGAACGGGGAGCAGCCCAGAGCCUGAAUCAGUGUGUGUGUUAGUGGAAGCGUCUGGAAAGGCGYGCGAUACAGGGUGACAGCCCCGUACACAAAAAUGCACAURCUGUGAGCUCGAUGAGUAGGGCGGGACACGUGGUAUCCUGUCUGAAUAUGGGGGGACCAUCCUCCAAGGCUAAAUACUCCUGACUGACCGAUAGUGAACCAGUACCGUGAGGGAAAGGCGAAAAGAACCCCGGCGAGGGGAGUGAAAAAGAACCUGAAACCGUGUACGUACAAGCAGUGGGAGCACAGAGCAAUCUGUGUGACUGCGUACCUUUUGUAUAAUGGGUCAGCGACUUAUAUUCUGUAGCAAGGUUAACCGAAUAGGGGAGCCGAAGGGAAACCGAGUCUUAACUGGGCGUUAAGUUGCAGGGUAUAGACCCGAAACCCGGUGAUCUAGCCAUGGGCAGGUUGAAGGUUGGGUAACACUAACUGGAGGACCGAACCGACUAAUGUUGAAAAAUUAGCGGAUGACUUGUGGCUGGGGGUGAAAGGCCAAUCAAACCGGGAGAUAGCUGGUUCUCCCCGAAAGCUAUUUAGGUAGCGCCUCGUGAAUUCAUCUCCGGGGGUAGAGCACUGUUUCGGCAAGGGGGUCAUCCCGACUUACCAACCCGAUGCAAACUGCGAAUACCGGAGAAUGUUAUCACGGGAGACACACGGCGGGUGCUAACGUCCGUCGUGAAGAGGGAAACAACCCAGACCGCCAGCUAAGGUCCCAAAGUCAUGGUUAAGUGGGAAACGAUGUGGGAAGGCCCAGACAGCCAGGAUGUUGGCUUAGAAGCAGCCAUCAUUUAAAGAAAGCGUAAUAGCUCACUGGUCGAGUCGGCCUGCGCGGAAGAUGUAACGGGGCUAAACCAUGCACCGAAGCUGCGGCAGCGACGCUUAUGCGUUGUUGGGUAGGGGAGCGUUCUGUAAGCCUGCGAAGGUGUGCUGUGAGGCAUGCUGGAGGUAUCAGAAGUGCGAAUGCUGACAUAAGUAACGAUAAAGCGGGUGAAAAGCCCGCUCGCCGGAAGACCAAGGGUUCCUGUCCAACGUUAAUCGGGGCAGGGUGAGUCGACCCCUAAGGCGAGGCCGAAAGGCGUAGUCGAUGGGAAACAGGUUAAUAUUCCUGUACUUGGUGUUACUGCGAAGGGGGGACGGAGAAGGCUAUGUUGGCCGGGCGACGGUUGUCCCGGUUUAAGCGUGUAGGCUGGUUUUCCAGGCAAAUCCGGAAAAYYAAGGCUGAGGCGUGAUGACGAGGCACUACGGUGCUGAAGCAACAAAUGCCCUGCUUCCAGGAAAAGCCUCUAAGCAUCAGGUAACAUCAAAUCGUACCCCAAACCGACACAGGUGGUCAGGUAGAGAAUACCAAGGCGCUUGAGAGAACUCGGGUGAAGGAACUAGGCAAAAUGGUGCCGUAACUUCGGGAGAAGGCACGCUGAUAUGUAGGUGAAGCGACUYSCUCGUGGAGCUGAAAUCAGUCGAAGAUACCAGCUGGCUGCAACUGUUUAUUAAAAACACAGCACUGUGCAAACACGAAAGUGGACGUAUACGGUGUGACGCCUGCCCGGUGCCGGAAGGUUAAUUGAUGGGGUYAGCGCAAGCGAAGCUCUUGAUCGAAGCCCCGGUAAACGGCGGCCGUAACUAUAACGGUCCUAAGGUAGCGAAAUUCCUUGUCGGGUAAGUUCCGACCUGCACGAAUGGCGUAAUGAUGGCCAGGCUGUCUCCACCCGAGACUCAGUGAAAUUGAACUCGCUGUGAAGAUGCAGUGUACCCGCGGCAAGACGGAAAGACCCCGUGAACCUUUACUAUAGCUUGACACUGAACAUUGAGCCUUGAUGUGUAGGAUAGGUGGGAGGCUUUGAAGUGUGGACGCCAGUCUGCAUGGAGCCGACCUUGAAAUACCACCCUUUAAUGUUUGAUGUUCUAACGUUGACCCGUAAUCCGGGUUGCGGACAGUGUCUGGUGGGUAGUUUGACUGGGGCGGUCUCCUCCUAAAGAGUAACGGAGGAGCACGAAGGUUGGCUAAUCCUGGUCGGACAUCAGGAGGUUAGUGCAAUGGCAUAAGCCAGCUUGACUGCGAGCGUGACGGCGCGAGCAGGUGCGAAAGCAGGUCAUAGUGAUCCGGUGGUUCUGAAUGGAAGGGCCAUCGCUCAACGGAUAAAAGGUACUCCGGGGAUAACAGGCUGAUACCGCCCAAGAGUUCAUAUCGACGGCGGUGUUUGGCACCUCGAUGUCGGCUCAUCACAUCCUGGGGCUGAAGUAGGUCCCAAGGGUAUGGCUGUUCGCCAUUUAAAGUGGUACGCGAGCUGGGUUUAGAACGUCGUGAGACAGUUCGGUCCCUAUCUGCCGUGGGCGCUGGAGAACUGAGGGGGGCUGCUCCUAGUACGAGAGGACCGGAGUGGACGCAUCACUGGUGUUCGGGUUGUCAUGCCAAUGGCACUGCCCGGUAGCUAAAUGCGGAAGAGAUAAGUGCUGAAAGCAUCUAAGCACGAAACUUGCCCCGAGAUGAGUUCUCCCUGACUCCUUGAGAGUCCUGAAGGAACGUUGAAGACGACGACGUUGAUAGGCCGGGUGUGUAAGCGCAGCGAUGCGUUGAGCUAACCGGUACUAAUGAACCGUGAGGCUUAACCUUACAACGCCGAAG
rnacentral:rRNA from 1 species